AAGAGUAUGAUGAAGAAAUCAUUCGGAUUCCCAAUGAAUUAUCCGUGUUUACUUACCAGCUACUUCUGACUCUC
rnacentral:snoRNA from 1 species